rnacentral:rRNA from 1 species
CCUACGGGGUGCAGCAGUGGGGAAUAUUGGACAAUGGGCGAAAGCCUGAUCCAGCCAUGCCGCGUGUGUGAAGAAGGCCUUCGGGUUGUAAAGCACUUUCAGUGGGGAAGAAAGCCUUGGGGCUAAUACCCUCGAGGAAGGACAUCACCCACAGAAGAAGCACCGGCUAACUCCGUGCCAGCAGCCGCGGUAAUACGGAGGGUGCGAGCGUUAAUCGGAAUUACUGGGCGUAAAGCGCGCGUAGGCGGUCUGAUAAGCCGGUUGUGAAAGCCCCGGGCUCAACCUGGGAACGGCAUCCGGAACUGUCAGGCUAGAGUGCAGGAGAGGAAGGUAGAAUUCCCGGUGUAGCGGUGAAAUGCGUAGAGAUCGGGAGGAAUACCAGUGGCGAAGGCGGCCUUCUGGACUGACACUGACGCCGAGGUGCGAAAGCGUGGGUAGCAAACAGGAUUAGAUACCCGGGUAGUC